CCCUUAGAUGUUCUGGGCCGCACGCGCGCUACACUGAUGCGUUCAACAAGUUUCCUUGGCCGAGAGGCCUGGGCAAUCUUCUUAAUAUGUAUCGUGAUAGGGAUAGAUUAUUGCAAUUAUUAAUCUUGAACGAGGAAUUCCUAGUAAACGCAGAUCAUCAAUCUGCAUUGAUUACGUCCCUGCCCUUUGUACACACCGCCCGUCGCACCUACCGAUUGGAUGUUCCGGUGAAGCCUCGGGAUGAGGACUGGUGCCUUUAUUGGCAUGGGUUGUUCAGAACUUGUCUAAACCUUAUCAUCUAGAGGAAGGUGAAGUCGUAACA
rnacentral:rRNA from 1 species